CUAUAACCUACCCACACACACUAUAACCACCACCACACUAUAACCACCACCACACUAGCUGUCUCUCAUCCUGUGACUGUGUUUGUUUGUCAGGAGGAGGAGAUAAGAGAGACAUGAUUCCACUAAAUGAUAUGGGACCAGAUGCCUACUCCACACUGGACCAGAGGGGGAGGAAGAACACUCUGGACGGAACACUGGAGCCUGCUGACAAAAGACACAGCACAGGGAGGGCUGUAUGAGGAGAGGCGGGACUCUGUUCCUCUCAUGGACUCUUAUGACGGUUAGGCCACACCCCUCCCACACACUGCAUGUGAGCGCAUGAGAAACUGAUAGUGUGCAUCACUAGAAGAGAGCAGCCUCUACCGGCCUACUGCCCCUGCUGAACCUCUGGACACUCACUGAGGGACCACUGACUCCACUAGAACUGGACUCUCUCCUUCUGUGUCUUUUUCUCUUUCCUUUCUCUCUUUUUCCUCUCUCCUCUCAAUUUCUUAAUCUUCUUUCCCUCUUAUCUCUCUCGGGGUCUGUGACAUAAGCCACUUGCAUGACCUUCAGCCUUCCUCACCUCCCCAGCUCUCCCUCAUUCCUCUAUUUAGACUGUGCCUUUUAGCCACUAAAGGAACACUAUGGACUCCUGACAUCCCUCUUCUACCUGUCCACACUACUAUGACAUAAGACCACUUCUAAUUUAGUAACUCCUCCCACCACAGUGACACACUAACCCCCAACACUACACUAACUCCUCCCACCACAAAAGGGACAGUUGUGACUUCAUCUGGGAACUGGGAAUGUUCACCACCACAGUAACAAAGCUAAUCAAAAGGGAACUGUUGGAAUGGGAUUCAAACUGUAACUGAACUUAAACUGACAAACUCCUUUUUUUAAUGGAAUGGUUCAAACUGCAUUUCUACAAGUGAUUGUGAAGAUUUCCAGUCAAGGUUUUUUUUCUUCUUGUGAUAACUAAUUACCACUAAACUUCUGUUUCCCAACAAAGAAUCAAUGUUUGUCGAUCUACCGCCAGUGUUGCUUUGGUCUUUGUUUGAGGUGUGAUUGCUGAGUUGUGGUUCUGACUACAGUGAUGAACACGUGCCAAACUACACACCACUAUUGCAGUAACUUUCUACUACAGAGUAUUUCUGAACACUACUUCUCUUCUCAGAGCCAUCUGUUGUGAUGUUCUAGUGUAUAUGACAUCAUUGGGUGAUGUCAGACAGGCACUGGUGUGCCAUUGGGCAGUGUUGUGGGAAAGUAAGUAGCUUGACGACCACUUUAACAUUUUACACAUGGGUCUUGCGUCACAGAACAUUCUUGAUCGUCUGUUCUGCAGAUUAUAUUUCUAUGAUUUUCACCCAUGUAUAAUAGACCAGUGAACCGUUUCGGCUCUAUUCAAUACAUUUAUAUCUGUGUGGCUCUUUAGCGUCAUUGUUAUACCCCCUUUCUCAACUCGCUCUGGUUCUAAUGGUUCUCCUGAAGCUAUGGGAGAAACCACAGAUUUGAUUGUUGAUCCAGUGACUGCAUUUCUUUCAAUCUGCAAAUCUCUAUAUAUAUGAAUGUGUAAAUAUGUGAUCGCCUUCAACUACGUCUGUGUGGCUCAUGGCUAACUGGAGUGCCUCGUUCGGUGGUGUUUUUAAGGUGGGAUGGGGGGUUUCCCUGGGGGUAUCAUUCACUAGCAGCAACAUUCCAGAACAUUGAAUCCAAAUGGAAUGUAUAGAACAGUUUUUUGUGUGUGUUCCGCAUAAUAACACAAUGGAAUGUAUAGAGUUGAUAUGAUUGAUGCUCUGCAUAUGGAACAGAGAGAACCAUUCUAGUGCCAUACGUUCCACGUCAGACUGGAGUGUUCCAGCCUACUGAACCUACGCCUGGGUGUCCAUCUACCCUGCUGGACUGGCUGGUGUCCAUGGAGACCACAGAACACUAAGAGGGGAGAGGACACAUUUAGCUGGUUGUUUCCCUCCAGACUGAGUUCCUUUAGUACCGUAGACAACAUUAUUAUUCUCAGUGCAGAGUAAGAUGUAGAUAUUUUCUCAGUAGAUUAAAGCACUAGGGGUAAAAGCGUUUCUUGGUUCCUUUGAUUAUUUUCAUGCCAAUCCAACACUACAAAUGGUCAGUCUCAGAAAAAUGUAAAUGAGUUGCCUUGUAACCAGAUAUAGUCCUAGAAUGAGAUGAUCUAGAACUGAUACAGGAAAUGAUGUGGGAGUGGAAUCCAAUGGGAAAGUGGGACUAAAGAGGGGCGGAGCAUAACAUUAAAUUAGCAAGAUUUGUAUAAGUGCAAUGACCUGAUUUUGAUUCUAGUUGCUAUUUAAAAAAUAAAUAAAAUAAAAAGCAAAAUGUAACUAUAUAUAGAAGAUAAAUAUUUGUUAAUUUUACUGGUUUUAUGUAUUGUUUUUAUAUUUUAUGAUUUGGGUUUAUUCGUCUUGCAGGUAUUGUGGGUGAACGCAUAUGCAAUCAGGUUUAUUUUUGAAUUGAGAAACAUUUAUGGUUUAUAUAUUUUAAUUAAAGAGAAAACAAGCAAAACACAAUGUAAAAUCAAUUUUGCAUUCCAAAUGGUCCCCUAUUCCCAAUAUAGUACACUACUAAAUGGCAUGAUAUGGCUCUGGGUGAAAGUAGUUAACUAUAUGGGGGACAUUUAGGAGACAGUCCAACUCUCAAUUUCUGUCAACAGUUUAUUAUUGGACCGCUGAUCUAAAAUGUGAUUCUGGAUGAAAACCUUAAUCUCUUCUAUGCCUUGGCUCUUAACGUUGCACAUUUCUCUCAUGAAUGGAAUAUGUAACAAGCAAUACUGUUUAUAAUAAAUAAAAUAAAAAGUGCUUUUUUCAAUACUG